CCUACGGGAGGCAGCAGUGGGGAAUAUUGGGCAAUGGUGGAAACUCUGACCCAGCGACGCCGCGUGCGGGAUGAAGGCCUUCGGGUUGUAAACCGCUUUCAGUAGGGAAGAAGCGAAAGUGUCGGUACCUACAAAAGAAGCACCGGCUAACUAUGUGCCAGCAGCCGCGGUAAUACAAAGGGUGCAAGCGUUGUCCGGAAUUAUUGGGCGUAAAGAGCUCGUAGGUCGGAUGUUACGUCGGAUGUGAAACCCUGAGGCUCA
rnacentral:rRNA from 1 species